GACCCCGCACAAGCGGCGGAGCAUGCGGCUUAAUUCGAUGAUACGCGAGGAACCUUACCAGGGCUUAAAUGUAGUCUGACAGGGGUGGAAACACCCCCUCCUUCGGGCAGAUUACAAGGUGCUGCAUGGUUGUCGUCAGCUCGUGCCGUGAGGUGUCAGGUUAAGUCCUAUAACGAGCGCAACCCCUGCCGUUAGUUGCCAGCAUGUAAUGAUGGGAACUCUAACGGGACUGCCGGUGCAAACCGCGAGGAAGGUGGGAUGACGUCAAAUCAUCACGGCCCUUACGUCCUGGGCUACACACGUGCUACAAUGGCCGGUACAGAGGGCAGCCACACCGCAAGGUGGAGCGAAUCCUUAAAACCGGUCUCAGUUCGGAUCGGGGUCUGCAACUCGGCCCGUGAAGCUGGAAUC
rnacentral:rRNA from 1 species